rnacentral:rRNA from 1 species
GAUGAACGCUGGCGGCGUGCCUAACACAUGCAAGUCGAGCGAAGCGGGGACGGGUGAGUAACAUGUGGAUAACUUCCUAUAAGACUGGGAUAACUUCGGGAAACCGGACUCAUACCCGACACUUACAGAAGGAUCCGAGCUGCAUUAGCUAGUUGGUAAGGUAACGGCUUACCAGGCCAACGUUGCAUAGCCGACCUGAGAGGAUGAUCGGCCACACUGGAACUGAGACACGGUCCAGACUCCUACGGGAGGCAGCAGUAGGGAAUCUUCCGCAAUGGGCGAAAGCCUGACGGAGCAACGCCGCGUGAGUGAUGAAGGUCUUCGGAUCGUAAAACUCUUUUAUUAGGGAAGCGGUACCUAAUCAGAAAGCCACGGCUAACUACGUGCCAGCAGCCGCGGUAAUAC